AUGCUAAUACGGGAUAAUAUAUUUGAGAGGCAUCUCUUAAAUAUCAAAGGUGAGCCAGUACAGGAUGGACCCGCGUCUGAUUAGCUAGUUGGUAAGGGAACGGCUUACCAAGGCGACGAUCAGUAGCCGACCUGAGAGGGUGAUCGGCCACAUUGGAACUGAGACACGGUCCAAACUCCUACGGGAGGCAGCAGUGGGGAAUAUUGCACAAUGGGCGAAAGCCUGAUGCAGCAACGCCGCGUGAGUGAUGAAGGCCUUCGGGUCGUAAAACUCUGUCCUCAAGGAAGAUAAUGACGGUACUUGAGGAGGAAGCCCCGGCUAACUACGUGCCAGCAGCCGCG
rnacentral:rRNA from 1 species